rnacentral:rRNA from 1 species
UGGGGAAUAUUGCACAAUGGGGGAAACCCUGAUGCAGCGACGCCGCGUGAGCGAAGAAGUAUUUCGGUAUGUAAAGCUCUAUCAGCAGGGAAGAAAAUGACGGUACCUGACUAAGAAGCACCGGCUAAAUACGUGCCAGCAGCCGCGGUAAUACGUAUGGUGCAAGCGUUAUCCGGAUUUACUGGGUGUAAAGGGAGCGUAGACGGAUGUGCAAGUCUGGAGUGAAAACCCGGGGCUCAACCCCGGGACUGCUUUGGAAACUGUAUAUCUUGAGUGCUGGAGAGGUAAGUGGAAUUCCUAGUGUAGCGGUGAAAUGCGUAGAUAUUAGGAGGAACACCAGUGGCGAAGGCGGCUUACUGGACAGUAACUGACGUUGAGGCUCGAAAGCGUGGGGAGCAAACA